ensembl:lncRNA
UGUCACUCUCUCUCUCACUCUGGCUGAGUCUCCAUCUGGAGCUUGGAACCCGCCAUGCUUACUAAUUAUGCCUGGGCUUCUAAGAUCCGACCGGGGAGGCCUCAGUGUCUCCUCUCCUUCGGGAGAACAGAAGGAUGCCUGCGGCCUACGUGACUCUAAUGAUAAAGAAUCUACCUGCCAAUGCAGGAGACAUGAAAGACAUGGAUUGAGUCCUUGGAUCUGGAAGAGCCCUUGAAAGAGAAAAUGUCACCCUACUCCAACAUUCAUGCCUAGAAAAAUCCCAUGGACAGAGGAGCUUGGUGGGCAACAGUCCAUGGGGCCACUAAGAGUCCAACACAACUGAGCACGUUGGUGUAUUUAAUGUGACCUUCCAGAUGUCCAAGGUGGAUUUAGAAACGGCAGAGGAACCAGAGAUCAAAUUGCCAACAUCUGAUGGAUCAUUGAAAAAGCAAGAGAGUUUCAGAAAAACAUCUACUUCUGCUUUAUUGACUAUGCCGAAGCCUUU